rnacentral:tRNA from 1 species
UAGAAUUAGUUUAACAGAAAAUAUUUAGUUGCAAACUAAAAGAAAUUUUUAAUAUUCU